AUACUUACCUGGCAAGGGAGACACCGUGAUCACCAAGGCGGUUCACCCAGGGCGAGGCUCAGCCAUUGCACUCCGGCUGUGCUGACCUCUGCGAAUUUCCCAAAUGUGGAAAUCUCGAUUGCAUAAUUUCUGGUAGUGGGGGACUGCGUUCGCGCUCUCCCCUG
ensembl:snRNA U1 U1 spliceosomal RNA